AGGACAUCCUUUUAUCUGGUCCGAAACAGAAGAAACGAAGGUUCAACCUCUCUGAACACAGUUCACAGCACACCCAAGUGCCAGCGAUCUCCACUUCCACUAUUCCAUACUACCAGUCAACCACCAUGGAAGAAUUGGGCUCCUCUCAUGAAAAAACUGAGAGUGAGUCCUCUCAUUGUCGUAAGCCCCAUUUGCCAUCUGGAUCAUACCUAUCUAAGAAACCUUCCUAUAAGGUUUAUUGCAAGGCUGAUCCUAAUUUUUUUCUCACGAUCAGAGAUGGGAAAGUGGUUCUAGCACCUCCAGAUCCAUCUGAUGAGUUCCAACACUGGUACAAAGACGAGAAAUUCAGCACAAUGGUAAAGGAUGAGGAAGGCUUUCCCUCCUUUGCUUUGGUUAAUAAAGCCA
rnacentral:misc_RNA from 1 species